rnacentral:rRNA from 1 species
CAAUAGCGUAUAUUAAAGUUGUUGCAGUUAAAAAGCUCGUAGUUGGAUUUCUGGUGGGAGCGAUCGGUCUGGCGCUUAGCGCGAGUACUUGCAUCGUCUCCGGCCAUCCUUGGGGAGAGUCUGUCUGGCAUUAAGUUGUCGGGCAGAGGAUCCUCAUCGUUUACUGUGAAAAAAUUAGAGUGUUCAAAGCAGGCUUAUGCCGUUGAAUAUAUUAGCAUGGAAUAAUAAGAUAGGACUUUGGUACUAUUUUGUUGGUUUGCGCACCAGAGUAAUGAUUAAUAGGGACAGUUGGGGGUAUUCGUAUUCCGUUGUCAGAGGUGAAAUUCUUGGAUUUACGGAAGACGAACUACUGCGAAAGCAUUUACCAAGGAUGUUUUCAUUAA